rnacentral:lncRNA from 1 species
UGCAGGGCUGGUAGGCAGAAUCUAAACCAAAAGUUGGCAGGAUCCAUACUGGAGAAAAACUGGCUGGGUAUCACAAUCAUUCCAUGCACCAAGCGGCAGGUUUGGGGGACUAGCCAGUGCAAAGUACCAGGUGAAGAGACACAGCUUAACAACACGUUAAGAAACAACCCCACAAAGUGUUGAUGACAACAACAGUGAUUUCAUGCUGCUGGAGGUUGUAUGCCUGGCAUAAUGUGAAAGAGGAAUCGCAGAGCUGGAGAACUACAGAAACUUCUGGAAUUGUAUCAAAGGAAGUAUGCUAAAUAGGGGCUGUGACGAGGACACAGAGAAGACUGCUAGAUUAGGCAAAACUCAGCACACGUGGCUUCUUCCUCACACCCCCACAAAAAAGAAGGCCGGGUGCCUUUCUAGGAAAUAAAAUUUUCUGAAAUGUUCUUUUGUCAUAUAUUACUAAAUGGUGCCAAUAGCUACACAUAAUUUGAAGAAAGGUUGUAAGUAACCACUCAUCUACCUACUACCUACCUAAAAAUAAAUUCAUAGGAAUUAUCCCUUCUUCCUAUCAAUUCUCUGUCUCCUUCCCUCCCUUCCUUCCUCUUUAGAAUGUAUUGACUUUAUACAUGAAUGCAUAAACACACAGCCUACUCACCACUCUCCACUUUCACCCUGAUCCACUAAGCAGAUCAUUCUAU